CUUCAUUCCCUGCUUCCCUAUUCACCAUCAGAACAGUUGUAUCCAAACAAGUUUCCGCAGGCAGUAAUCUUGUGUUUUGAUCAGCUGAUGAGGAGAUAAAGCAUCUUAAAUAUCGAGGUAAUCAUGUAGGAUGGUGGAUAACGAGGACGAGUUAAUACUCAACAGUCGUCGUCGUCCAUACAACUCUCUCUCUCUCUCUCUGUGACUCAUACUUCAAGCAACAGUUGGAUAAGUUCAUCUUCAAACUACAUCCCUUCAUCCCCUCCCUAUUCACCACCAGAACCGUCAAAAGUUGUAACCAAGCAAAGCUGCGCAGGCAUUAUUAAUCUUGAGUUUUGAUCAACGGACGACGUGAUCAGCAUGUAAGGUAAUGGAUAAAGCCAUGUGGAAGUCAAAAUCUGGAAGAAGAUGGGGAAGCCUUUUGGCGUCGUCUUCUUUGGCGGAAUGAGGCCACCAAGAAACAAUAAUGGGGAUUGGAUUUCCUGUGGGUCUCUCUCGAGAUACGCAGCGUCCGCCCACCGCAUGCACGUAAGCAUCAUCUCGCCUUCUCCGCCGGAUAUUAUAAGGUCUUACAUGGCGUGGCUAUGGUUCCCGGCGGAAGGGGAGGAUGGCAUUGUGGUGAUUAAGGACUAGAAGAAGGGGUGUCUGCGGGACGCGAAUCUGGGAUCCACCCGAUGGACCGGCCUGAUUGACGCGUGUCCGAGACCGACGGUCGGGCGGAGGCCGGGGCGGGACCCACUUUAUCCACAACGUCCGCGUUCGCCGCCGAUGUCGGUCGCUGUGGCGGCGCCACGCCGUGGAAAAAAUGAACCGUCCUUUGACCGCCAGCAGGUCUCCCGGAUGAUCACCACCGUCGAUCUCAUCAGAUCCAUGGUUAGGAUCAUCGAGAGCACCAGUGUGGCUCCGCUUCCAACCACUGCGUCACGACUUACGUGCGACUGCUGCUUCGUGUGUCCGCCCCGUCGGUGGUCAACUUGGUCGUGACUUAAGCCGGGAGGAAAAAGAAAUUAUGACUUCAAAUUCUAAUGAAAUGCAUAGAAAUUUGCUUCUGAUCAA